AAAAUAUUUUAACGCCAACUAAACAGAGCUGAAAUUAUAGACUUGCAUACAGUUUAAUAGAAAUUCACUAAUAGCUAUCCAUUUGAAAAUAACCCUGAAAUAUAAGAAUAUAGAGCACAGAAUCACCAACUAUGGAAUCCUCACUGCCACGGGCAGAAGAAGGCAAUGGACUGCUCUGUGGAGCACACAAUUAUCUAAACUCCAUGCUCAGCCCUAGAUUGGAGGAACAAGCUGGACAGAGCCAGACUUUGCAGGCUCAGCUAAAAUGUCUAACAAUGGCAAGCAGAGACACAAGCUUCGAGGAGUGGUUUAGCAGUCGGCCACCAAGGAUCCAGAGAUAUACCUGGGUGUAAAAUGAAGAAACCUCUGCUGCCCAAGUUAUUUGCAUGGGGAAAGAGGGGCAACCUAAAUUCCUAAUCUAGACGAAUGGAUGCUCCAAAUGCCAGGAGAUAUGUGCAGGUGUGAAGAGGAGAGAGCUGCUAUAUCAAAUUGUUCACAUCAAAAGAGAGGGGGUGGCACAGGCUUCUAAUCUAGGAAAGAAAAGGCAUGCUUCUAAAAAUAAUACAAGGAGAGGAACUAGAAACUGAGGCUAUUAUCGGAAAAUGGAUACAUAUAGUCAUGAUGCCAAGUACCAGUUGUUUUGCCAAAAUGGUUUUGCAUGAUGCAUGAUGUUUCAUCCUGGAACGAUUUCUUUUUAUGAAAGAAGAAUGAAGACGACAGUAACUGAGGGCUUAAAGCAGGCAAGGGCCAACAAAACAAACAAACAAAACCU
rnacentral:lncRNA from 10 species